CGAAACCGAGUGAUCUAGCCAUGAGCAGGUUGAAGGUGCAGUAACAUGCACUGGAGGUCCGAACCGAUUAACGUUGAAAAGUUACCGGAUGAGUUGUGUUUAGGGGUGAAAGGCCAAUCAAGCCGGGAAAUAGCUGGUUCUCCGCGAAAUCUAUUGAGGUAGAUCGUCGCUCGAUUACCGCCGGAGGUAGAGCACCGGAAGGGCUAGGGGGACCCAAAGUCCUACCAAACCCUACCGAACUCCGAAUGCCGGCGAGUACAGGGCGGCAGACAGACAGUGGGUGCUAAGGUCCAUUGUCGAGAGGGAAACAGCCCAGA
rnacentral:rRNA from 1 species